rnacentral:rRNA from 13 species
ACUUUGAAAAGAGAGUUAAAGAGUACCUGAAAUUGCUGAAAGGGAAGCGAAGGAAACCAGUGCCAAAGCCGUGUCAUACUUUCUCUGCUGCUUGCGGUAGGGACGCUGUGGCAUGGCGUCGGGUCAGCAUCGGCUUUGUGCUUGGGGUAGAUGUUUGGUUGGUAGACGGCCACUUCGGUGGUGAGUGCCCUCCAUUCUUAUCCUGGGUUGGGCCGAGGACAGUCAUUAUGUGCUCGUGAUGCUGGCAAAAUGGUUUUCUUUACCCCGUCUUGGAACACGGACCAAGGAGUCUAACAUAUGUGCAAGUACAAAGGUGGCAAACCUGCGUGCAUAAUGAAAGUAACAGUGGUUGGAUCCCCUCGGGGUGCACAAUCCGCCGGCCAAUAUCCUUCGGGAGAAAGGUCUGAGUGUGAGCAUACAUGUUGGGACCCGAAAGAUGGUGAACUAU